UACGUAGGGGGCGAGCGUUGUCCGGAUUCAUUGGGCGUAAAGAGCUCGUAGGCGGUUCGGCAAGUCAGAUGUGAAAACUCCAGGCUCAACUUGGAGAGGCCAUCUGAUACUGCUGUGACUAGAGUCCGGUAGGGGAGCACGGAAUUCCUGGUGUAGCGGUGAAAUGCGCAGAUAUCAGGAGGAACACCAGCGGCGAAGGCGGUGCUCUGGGCCGGAACUGACGCUGAGGCGCGAAAGCUAGGGGAGCGAACGGG
rnacentral:rRNA from 1 species